CCAACACACCCAGGGUCAGAGGGACAAGGCAGAGCCGCCCCCCACACACACACACAGGGUCAGAGCAGGCCGUGCACCUGCACAGGGCAAACCUAGAGCGCCUGGCCAGGCUCCGCUGUGACAGCCCCGCACGCUGACGCAGAGGCACUGCCAGGCUGGUGCCGUGACUGGAGCCGUGGAGCACGGAAGUGGCUCUGGGAGCGGGCAGCAGGCGGAGUCUGCAGAAGCGCCAGGCCCGGUCACCUGCUCAGACUGUUGACAAAGACAGGUGAGAGGUGCCGCCGCGGAGGCCUCGGGAGGAAAGGAACACGGGAACUGGGGGCCGGCGGACCCCGCGGGAAAGCGGCGCCAUCGGGGCUGAGCUGUGUUCCGCCACCAGAGUGCCCAUGCUGGGGCUACGCCAGGCCAGAGGCUGUAACUGGAGGUACACAAUUCGCUUGCCAGUUUCAAAAGUACACAGCUCCCUGCUGUGGCCCGGGAGAGCAGUAGAAGACGCCCAAGUCCUGGAGCCCCUGCACCUGCAUGGGAGACCCAGAAGAAGCUCCUGGCUUCAGAUCGGCACAGCUCCAGCUGUUGUGGCCAUUCGGGGAAUGAACCAGCGGAUGGAAGAUCUUUCUCCCUCCCUUCCCCUCCCCUCCCCUCCCCUCCCC